rnacentral:lncRNA from 1 species
CAGCACGUGGUCCACUGUCAGUCACGUUAAUCUUCAGGAGGUGGCUUCAGUGCCGUCACCGGGGCUUCCAUCUGUUAAGAAACCGUAGUCGUCUUGAGGGAAGAGGCUCCUGCGGAUGUCUUAGGUCAGCUUCCCUGAAGCAGAGCCUAAGGAGCUGGAGUUACUGCAGUGGACAAAACAUAAAAAGUACCAUGUGGCAAGAAUCAAAAGACAAGAAGUAAAAUAAGAUACAUAGCACGUAUCUUAUGUGCACAGCCCAGUCAAGAAAAUAAGCAGGGUAAAAGAAAG